UCAGAUUCGACUACGUCAUCCCGGAUUCCCAGAAUUUGAACUGAUUUUGUACAAGUUUUAAAAUAGAACAAAUAACUCGGGGUGGAUCCCAUACUUUCAAUAUCGAUUUGUCAGUACAGAGGGUUGUACAUUGCUUAUGCAACCAGAGAAAUAUAAUGUAACCUGAUUGUUCCUCCUUCUGAAUAAUUUAUUGCAAUAUAAAUGUGAAUCCCUUUUGACAGCAGAAACCUGACUUUUGUCAUAUAUAAAUUUGUAACAUGUGCACAUGUUAUGGACGCUAUUUUGUUUUUG
rnacentral:lncRNA from 1 species